UAACAAGGUUUCCGUAGGUGAACCUGCGGAAGGAUCAUUAUCAUACAACGGAGGCACCGGGGCUGUCGCUGACCUUGGUCGUGACGCCCAGAGUGCUCUCUCUAAAAUCCAUCUCACCCCUUUGUGCAUCACCGCGUGGGCCUUCCUUUUGGCUUGUUCCGAAGGGGGGUUCGCGUUUCUUUCAUACAAACACCCUUUUAAUGCAUGUGUAGAAUGUCUUACUUUUUGCGAUCACACGCAAUCAAUACAACUUUCAACAACGGAUCUCUUGGCUCUCGCAUCGAUGAAGAACGCAGCGAAAUGCGAUACGUAAUGUGAAUUGCAGAAUUCAGUGAAUCAUCGAAUCUUUGAACGCACCUUGCGCCCCUUGGUAUUCCGAGGGGCACACCCGUUUGAGUGUCGUGAAUGCCCUCAACCUUCUUGGUUUCUUGACCGGGAAGGCUUGGACUUUGGAGGUUAUUGUUGCCGGCCACUUUUGAAGCCGGCUCCUCCUAAAUGAAUUAGUGGGGUCCGCUUUGCCGAUCCUUGACGUGAUAAGUUUGCUUCUACGUCUUGGGUUUCGCACUGUCGCACCGGAACCUGCUUCCAACCGUCUUUGAACGAAGACAAUAUUACGAACCUUGACCUCAAAUCGGGGUGGGACUACCCGCUGAACUUAAGCAUAUCAAUAAGCGGAGGA
rnacentral:rRNA from 1 species